rnacentral:precursor_RNA from 12 species
AAACACAACUAAUAUACACUUGUGAUAGGUGAUAGUGACUUCCCAGGUGAUGCUAUAUUCUGAAUUCAUCACUGGGAAGACAUUAUCGUUAGCUACAAGUGAAACGCAACAAACUAAAA